GACGAACGCUGGCGGCGUGCUUAACACAUGCAAGUCGAACGGUAAGGCCCUUCGGGGUACACGAGUGGCGAACGGGUGAGUAACACGCGGGUGAUCUGCCCUGCACUUCGGGAUAAGCCUGGGAAACUGGGUCUAAUACCGGAUAGGACUCCUGGCUUCAUGGUUGGGGGUGGAAAGCUUUUGCGGUGUGGGGUGGGCCCGCGGCCUAUCAGCUUGUUGGUGGGGUAAUGGCCUACCAAGGCGACGACGGGUAGCCGGCCUGAGAGGGUGACCGGUCACACUGGGACUGAGAUACGGCCCAGACUCCUACGGGAGGCAGCAGUGGGGAAUAUUGCACAAUGGGCGCAAGCCUGAUGCAGCGACGCCGCGUGAGGGAUGACGGCCUUCGGGUUGUAAACCUCUUUCAGCUAUGACGAAGCGCAAGUGACGGUAGUAGCAGAAGAAGGACCGGCCAACUACGUGCCAGCCGCCGCGGUAA
rnacentral:rRNA from 1 species